rnacentral:rRNA from 1 species
CUCAGCAUUUAUACUAUUCUGUACUUGAUCUCACAAGUUAAGCAGAGUCAGGUCUGGUUAGUACUUGAAUAGGAAACUACCUGGGAAUAUCAGGUUCUGUAC